GACGAACGCUGGCGGCGUGCUUAACACAUGCAAGUCGAACGGAAAGGCCCUGCUUUUGUGGGGUGCUCGAGUGGCGAACGGGUGAGUAACACGUGAGUAACCUGCCCUUGACUUUGGGAUAACUUCAGGAAACUGGGGCUAAUACCGGAUAGGAGCUCCUGCUGCAUGGUGGGGGUUGGAAAGUUUCGGCGGUUGGGGAUGGACUCGCGGCUUAUCAGCUUGUUGGUGGGGUAGUGGCUUACCAAGGCUUUGACGGGUAGCCGGCCUGAGAGGGUGACCGGCCACAUUGGGACUGAGAUACGGACCAGACUCCUACGGGAGGCAGCAGUGGGGAAGAUUGCACAAUGGGCGGAAGCCUGAUGCAGCAACGCCGCGUGCGGGAUGACGGCCUUCGGGUUGUAAACCGCUUUCGCCUGUGGCGAAGCGUGAGUGACGGUAAUGGGUAAAGAAGCACCGGCUAACUACGUG
rnacentral:rRNA from 1 species